UGUGUUGUGGAUUGCAAUGCGUUGCAGGUAUGAGUUUCAAAUCCGUGUUGGAGGAUAGCCAGGAUCAUGUAGACAUCCGAGGAUUGUCAUCUUAUUUACUCCGUCUCCGCCCACCUUGCCACCAUUUCGCAUUUACAGAUUCACAAGCCAAAGAAGGAAUUAGAGUCGCAGCAAAAGGUGAAAGGAGCUCUAGAAACUCGUGCAACUGAGGCUGAGAACAAGAUGCUUGAAUUGAACUCGGAACUAGAAAAAGCGAGUCUUCUUUGUUUUUUUCUUUUCUUUCUGUAUUGAUGAAUUCAAGUUACAUUUUUAUAUAUAUAGAAAAAAAAUCUACAUUUAUAAUUAUAUAAAGAUCGGGAUUCCGAUCUCCAACAGCAGAAAGUUGUGCAGGGGCAGGCCGCUGUCUUCGACGAGGUUCCGAGGCAAUGAAGGAAAACUGUGGCACAGAUCAUUACAUUGGGACACGUACCAUAAGCGGACAGCCCGAGUCUGAAAGGAGCUCCACAGCAGAUCGAUCCACGUGUCUUUCGUCUAUGGAGACUUGAUACAGCAGGACUCAUUGUAGUCGUCUAAGAGCCGUGGUUUGACAGUGUCUCCUGUGCACACUAGUUGCUUUACAUUUAUCCCAUAAUGCUAUUCCG